GAAAUCCUUUCCAUAAUGUUGUCAGAAUAUUAAUCUGAGUCUGUCAGCGGCAAAACAGGUACUUUUAUGAACGUAAAUACAAGCUGGACAACUGACGUCCUAUUAACUCACAUUUUAGCUUGUUUCUCCGUUGCCAACUGCAGCGACCUGAUCUCUCUUGGUUCUGG